GGUGUACGUCACUCUCUGAGCUUUAACAGUGUACUCCCUGCAGCAAGUCAUUUACAGACGACCAACACCUUUCUACUCGCCUCCCAUUUCCCUACUUGACCUCUCUUCAUUAACCCAGCAAUUUGCAAUAGCAUUGGGUGGUGGAUUUAUCACAGGACCUGGUCUUAAGCGGUCUCUGGGGGCAACAGAGCUAAAGGAAAUGAAGGCUCCUAGGAUGCUUAGGGCAUUCACGGUUAAAGGGCAGGAGAAGAGGGAAUUUUAAGAGGCUGGAGUUGUCUGAAUGUAGGUUCUUUGUGCAAGUUUCUUGUAGAUAUGCUACAAUCAUGAGGAGAGAAAUGGCAAGAGACAGCUUUCCCAUCCUGAGACAUCUGCCCAUAGUACAAACCAGUUAAUAUGAACAAAGGUAGAACUGCAGAGGCAAAGGAUUUACCAGGAAAACUAUGUAUGACCUGUUUAUUAGAUGAAACUAUCCAUGGAUUUCAGCUCCAGCUGGAGCACUGGCUACUGUGUACAUGGAUCACAUUAUCCGUGUGGAGCAAUUGGACCUUGACUUUGUACCUG